rnacentral:lncRNA from 1 species
AACUUGAAAACAUUGCAAGGCUUGUCCAUAUCAAUAUUGGAGUUGGCAAAUACAUUGAUCCUAAUUGUUGAUGUGGAGAUUAAUUGUAUUUAGUGAGACAGAUGUACUAGUAGUGUUACACAAGUGUCCAAUAGAGGUUGCUGUGAGUUGGAAUGAUUAGCUUUUAAAAAUGUGUGCAUAGGAACCACUCCUUUAUGCUUGUUGUCAUGGUGUGAUUGGGGUAGAAACAAAAGAAGGAAGAUUUAGAUUGGAAAGAUAGGCAUAAGAAAGAAGGAAGACAGGGACUAAGUCAGACAAGAAGAGCUUUGACUGUUUUAGGGUCAAUUCUGUGGUUAUUAACCAAGACAGAUAGAAGCAGCAAUUAUAUUUGGGACACAAAAACUCAAGUGCAGAAAGAAGCCAGGAGAAGACCAGCUGAUCCUCUAGGUACCUGUCUCUUAUAAAUAGGGUCUGGAAUCCAGAACUUUGGAAUGAAGUAAAAAAACCAAGAUAAGGGACUUCGGAAUAAAGUGUCAGUAACCCAGCAAACAAAAUCAGAGGUCUAGGACACCAGCACUAACAGCUUAGAGCCUAAACUUGUGAAGAUUUGGAGAAGGCCUGAGCUCAGUUUUACCUUUCUCAUUUAAUUUAUAUUUAUUAGGCACCCAUUAUGUGCCAGGCACUGCAUGAGCAGCAGAGGCUAUUAUUGAACAAGGUGAGGUGUUUUUUUUUGUUUGUUUGUGUUUUUUUUUAGUGCUGACUGGACCCCGCUGACCUACAGUGAUGACAAGGGGCCCCAUUGUGGGUGGAACUGUGGCGCCUCAGGGUUCCACCGCUGCCUGGUGCUUACUCUGCGUCCGCAGGCAGGUGGAGGCACUCGUGCUCCGGAUCUGGCUCACAGCGCCCGAACUAUCCCACUCUCCCCAGUACCCCAGUGUAUAAAGUGUGAGUGCUCACACAGUGACAGGCCACAGCUGCUGCUGCUACUGAAUUUGAGGCAUGCCAUGCACCGCUUCUGCAGUGAUAGCUUUGUUUUUGCAAAGUGA